AUCCUUAUCACACUGUUAUCAAGGAAAUGACCCCCACUUGUGAAACCAGUCACAUACACAGAAAGUUAUAUACAAUAUUGCAGUUUGGAAUAUCAAUUUCUUACAGUCCCCACCUAGAGGGCGAAUGACUCAACAAGAAAAUGAGCCCUCUCAAAGAAAUACAGUAUUUGAAUUACGUGUGUUUUAAAUGAUUAUGUGUUUUACUG